GAUCAUGGCUCAGGAUGAACGCUAGCUACAGGCUUAACACAUGCAAGUCGAGGGGCAGCAUUUUAGUUUGCUUGCAAACUGAAGAUGGCGACCGGCGCACGGGUGAGUAACACGUAUCCAACCGUGCCGAUAACUCUGGAAUAGCCUUUCGAAAGAAAGAUUAAUACCGGAUGGCAUACGAAUAUCGCAAUGAUAUUUUUAUUAAAGAAUCUCGGUUAUCGAUGGGGAUGCGUU
rnacentral:rRNA from 1 species